UACGGAGGGUGCGAGCGUUGUCCGGAAUUACUGGGCGUAAAGCGUGCGCAGGCGGUUCGUUGUGUCGGUGGUGAAAUCCCCGGGCUUAACCUGGGAAUGGCCAUGGAAACUGGCGAACUGGAGUGCGGCAGAGGGGGGUGGAAUUCCGCGUGUAGCAGUGAAAUGCGUAGAGAUGCGGAGGAACACCGAUGGCGAAGGCAGCCCCCUGGGCUAGCACUGACGCUCAGGCACGAAAGCGUGGGGAGCAAACAGG
rnacentral:rRNA from 1 species